AAUGGGGUUAAUACUAAAGUUUUCAAGUUUGAAGCAUGGUGGAUAAUGGAAGAGUCUUUUAAUGAAGAAGUCAAAAAUUUAUGGGAGUCCUCAUCUGGGAGCCUAUUUCAAAAGCUAGAUAUCUUAAAGGAGGGACUGAGACGAUGGGCAAGUCAGAUUCGUUUUGAUAGAAGAAGGAGAAAGGAUAUGCUCACAGCUAGACUAUCAAAACUUGAAAGGGAUGAUAGAGAUGAUAUCAACCUGGCAGAAUUGAUUGAUUGUAAAAUUCAAUUGAACUUUGAGAUUGAGAAAGACGAACGUUACUGGGAACAACGGGCUCGAAUAAAUUGGCUGAAAUUUGGGGAUAAGAAUACUGCAUUUUUUCAUAGUCAAGCGACGCAGCGUAAAAGGAAAAAAAUCAUACACAAACUAAACGAUGAAGAAUGAGGAACAACGGAGAGUUUUAAGGAAAUGGAGGGAAUUGCGCGAUCUUAUUUUCAAAAUUUAUUUUUAACAGAUGGACGAGGAACCCUUGACCAUUUGUUAUCAAGUAUUGAGAAAUGCAUAUCUGAGGAGGAAAACCAAGAUCUUUUGAGGCCUUAUUCGGCAGAGGAGCUUAAAGAGGCGCUUUUUGCAAUGGGUCCUACCAAAGCACCAGGUGAAGAUGGCUUCCCGGCACUAUUUUACCAAAAUUGCUGGCACAUCAUUAGGGAGGACGUCACCAAAUUCUGUUUACAAAUUCUGAAUGAAGGUAUGGAUUUUUAAAAAAUUAAUGUGACUCAAAUAAUCCUUAUCCCUAAAAUUGAUAAUCCUACUACUAUGAUGGAUUUCUGUCCUAUUAGUUUGUGCAAUGUGCUUUAUAAAAUUAUAGCAAAAUCGAUUGCAAAUAGGCUCAGAGGAGUUAUCGGAAAAUGUAUUGAUGGGGCCCAAAGUGCGUUUGUACCAGGCAGAUUGAUCUCAGACAAUAUUCUACUUGCAUAUGAAAUUCUUCACACUUUUAAACAGAAGAGAACUGGGAAAAAAAGGUCUUAUGGCAGUCAAGUUGGACAUGAAUAAAGCAUACGACAGGGUUGAGUGGAAUUUUAUCAAAGAAAUGAUGGCAAGAAUGGGGUUUGAUUUGAGAGUGAUCGGAAUUUUGAUGAAAUGUUUGACAACAGUCUCCUACUCAGUAGUUGUAAAUGGUUAUAUAAGAGAAAGCUUUCAACCAACAAGGGGACUUCGUCAGGGAGACCCACUUAGUCCGUUUCUUUUUCUCAUUUGUGGGGAAGGGCUGUCAUGUUUAAUGAGAUUAGCAUGCAGGGAAGGACUAGUGAAAGGAGCCAAAGCCAGUAGGAACGGACCACAGGUAUCACAUUUACUGUUUGCUGAUGAUUGUAUCUUAUUUGGUCAAGCCACAAGUAGGGAAGCUAAUUUUUUAAAGGAGAUUUUGGGGGAAUAUAGGAGAUGCUCGGGGCAAUGUGUUAACUUUAAUAAGUCCACUGUCUUUUUUAGCAGUAAUACAAAUGCUGAAGAUAAACGAGAGGUGGUAAACAUUUUGGGGGUACGUAGUUCAGAAAAUCUGGAGAGGUAUUUGGGAUUGCCCAACACAGUUGGAAGAAGGAAAAAAGAAUCUUUUCAUGGCUUAAAAGAUAGAUUUAAGAAACGUAUUGACAAUUGGAGUACCAGGUUUUUGUCUCAGGGCGGGAAAGAAGUGUUUAUUAAAUCGGUCCUGCAAUCUAUACCAACUUACUCUAUGUCGUGUUUCUUAUUACCUAAGUCUUUAUGUUCAGAAAUGGAAAGCAUUAUAGCUCAAUUUUGGUGGCAAAAGGGGCGUAGAAAACGAGGAAUACAUUGGUGUGCAUGGAAAAAUCUUUGUAUUUUAAAAGAAAAUGGGGGUCUUGGUUUUUGAAACAUGAGUCAGUUUAAUAUUGCAUUAUUAGCCAAACAGGGGUGGCGUCUUAUUACUUAUCCAAAUUCGUUAGUGGCUAGAGUGCUCAAGGCUAAAUACUAUCCAAACACGGACUUUAACAACGCUCAGUUAGGAAAUAUACCUUCUCUCACCUGGAAGAGUGUGUGGGCUGCUAAGGGAUUGUUGAAUAAUGGACUAUGUUGGAGGGUUGGAAAGGGUGAUGGAAUCUCGAUCUGGGAGGACUGUUGGAUACCAGGCAAGGAACCUGAAGAGUGGAACCGUAGAAACAGAAGUGAAGAGUACAAGUUAGUCUCAGAAUUAAUUGAUUCAAAUACCAGAACAUGGAAGUCAGAUAUUAUCAGUAGUACCUUCCCAAUUGAGAUUGCUCAACAAAUCAUUCAGAUUCCUCUUGCAAAAAUUCCUCAUAAUGACCUUCAAGUGUAGAAGGGAGAAUCGACCGGAGAAUUCACUGUCAGAAGCGCCUACAAACUAUUACAAGAAACUAGCUUGGAUCCUAGUUAUUAUUAUUUACAUGCCGACUCAAUGAAUUUCUACAAAAAACUUUGAAAUCUAGGACUACCCUCAAAACUACUGAUUACAAUUUGGAGAAUUACAUGGAACUAUAUCCCGACUUUUGCAAAUCUAAAACAUAAGCGAGUAAUUAAUAGUGCUUUAUGCCCUCGAUGUGGGAAUGGAGAAGAAGACAGUGAGCAUGUCUUUUUGAAUUGCCCUGUAACGGUAGAGAUUUGGAGGAAGUUAGGGGUCUCAUGGGUUGACAGAACAGUUCACAAUAUCUGGGAAUGGAUCACCUGGAUCUUUCAGAAGACCGCUAUUCAACAGCGUCGCUUGCUUUGCUGUGGCUUGUGGAUUAUCUGGAGUUCACGAAAUAAGCUUGUACACGAAAGGAAGUUAGAGUCAGCAGAUGAGAUUUCACAGAAUAUUCGAAGAUAUAUGGCUGAGAUUGAAGGAUUAGAAGAAAAAAAAACUUAUCUCUCCAAAGGGGUGUAGAAGCAACGUUUUAGAUGUAAACACCAGGGCAACGAUUCAGUUUGACGCUACACUUGAUAAUAGAAACCACAGAUCAGCAUCGGGAGUAGUGGUUUGGAGUCAGACGGGGGAGCUCCUUGCAUUAAAGUCAAUGAUCAACAUAAAUGUUUCAUCUCCGUUUGUUGCAGAGGCGUAUGCAGGCUUACAGGCUGUUGAGUUAGGGAUAUCGCUAAAACUUCCCUCAGUAACGGUUAUGGGAGAUUCUCGAACAGUUAUCAAAAAAUGUCAGUCAAAGAAUUCGGAUAAAUCAAUCAUCGGUACAAUAAUCAGAGACAUUCAUAGCAGUAUGCACAGGUUCUAGGAAAUAAAAUUCCAAUUUAUUAAAAGAACAGAGAAUGCCUAUGCUCACAACCUGGCCAAGGAGUCUUUGAGAAAGAAUGAAUGAACGUACCAGAGAAGGCCGGAUCUGACUCAACACCAUUCGCAACCGGAGGGAAGGUGGAGGAACAACCCAGAUUGAGAUUUGUCUAGGGUUAAUGAAAUGAAAUAGAUAGCUGAAAAUCGUAUAUGGAUCGGCUAUUGACAAGCAUAGAGAAGACAUUGAUGUGAAAGGACGAGAAGAAAAUGGAGUACAGCUGUGUCUUGGGAAUCGGCUAGUUUAAUUUCAACAAGUUUCCUUUUAUUUGUUUUUCAAUUAAUAGGCAGGUUUUUUAUUAGAAUUUUUAAUUAUUUUUGAAAUUAAUGGCUAAAGAGAUAGGACAAUGAUGGGAUAGGACACCUAGAGUGUCAUAGGCCUGAACCAUUAUUAUUAGGUUUUGUAUUUGUCUUCUUUAUUUAUUUAUAUCUAGCCGAUUUUAUUUUCAAAAAAAAAAUAUCACCAUAUGUACUUUUUUAUUAAAG
rnacentral:lncRNA from 1 species